rnacentral:rRNA from 1 species
GAAAGGUGAAAAGCACCCCGGAAGGGGAGUGAAAGAGAUCCUGAAACCGUGUGCCUACAAAUAGUCAGAGCCCGUUAACGGGUGAUGGCGUGCCUUUUGUAGAAUGAACCGGCGAGUUACGAUCCCGUGCGAGGUUAAGCUGAAGAGGCGGAGCCGCAGCGAAAGCGAGUCUGAAUAGGGCGUUUAGUACGUGGUCGUAGACCCGAAACCAGGUGAUCUACCCAUGUCCAGGGUGAAGUUCAGGUAACACUGAAUGGAGGCCCGAACCCACGCACGUUGAAAAGUGCGGGGAUGAGGUGUGGGUAGCGGAGAAAUUCCAAUCGAACCUGGAGAUAGCUGGUUCUCCCCGAAAUAGCUUUAGGGCUAGCCUUAAGUGUAAGAGUCUUGGAGGUAGAGCACUGAUUGGACUAGGGGUCCUCAUCGGAUUACCGAAUUCAGUCAAACUCCGAAUGCCAAUGACUUAUCCUUAGGAGUCAGACUGCGAGUGAUAAGAUCCGUAGUCAAAAGGGAAACAGCCCAGACCGCCAGCUAAGGUCCCAAAGUGUGUAUUAAGUGGAAAAGGAUGUGGAGUUGCUUAGACAACUAGGAUGUUGGCUUAGAAGCAGCCACCAUUUAAAGAGUGCGUAAUAGCUCACUAGUCGAGUGACUCUGCGCCGAAAAUGUACCGGGGCUAAAUACACCACCGAAGCUGCGGAUUGAUACCAAUGGUAUCAGUGGUAGGGGAGCGUUCUAAGGACAGUGAAGUCAGACCGGAAGGACUGGUGGAGUGCUUAGAAGUGAGAAUGCCGGUAUGAGUAGCGAAAGACGGGUGAGAAUCCCGUCCACCGAAUGCCUAAGGUUUCCUGAGGAAGGCUCGUCCGCUCAGGGUUAGUCAGGACCUAAGCCGAGGCCGACAGGCGUAGGCGAUGGACAACAGGUUGAUAUUCCUGUACCACCUCUUUAUCGUUUGAGCAAUGGAGGGACGCAGAAGGAUAGAAGAAGCGUGCGAUUGGUUGUGCACGUCCAAGCAGUUAGGCUGAUAAGUAGGCAAAUCCGCUUAUCGUGAAGGCUGAGCUGUGAUGGGGAAGCUCCUUAUGGAGCGAAGUCUUUGAUUCCCCGCUGCCAAGAAAAGCUUCUAGCGAGAUAAAAGGUGCCUGUACCGCAAACCGACACAGGUAGGCGAGGAGAGAAUCCUAAGGUGUGCGAGAGAACUCUGGUUAAGGAACUCGGCAAAAUGACCCCGUAACUUCGGGAGAAGGGGUGCUUUCUUAACGGAAAGCCGCAGUGAAUAGGCCCAAGCGACUGUUUAGCAAAAACACAGCUCUCUGCGAAGCCGUAAGGCGAAGUAUAGGGGGUGACACCUGCCCGGUGCUGGAAGGUUAAGGAGAGGGGUUAGCGUAAGCGAAGCUCUGAACUGAAGCCCCAGUAAACGGCGGCCGUAACUAUAACGGUCCUAAGGUAGCGAAAUUCCUUGUCGGGUAAGUUCCGACCCGCACGAAAGGUGUAACGAUUUGGGCACUGUCUCAACCAGAGACUCGGUGAAAUUAUAGUACCUGUGAAGAUGCAGGUUACCCGCGACAGGACGGAAAGACCCCGUGGAGCUUUACUGUAGCCUGAUAUUGAAUUUUGGUACAGUUUGUACAGGAUAGGCGGGAGCCUUUGAAACCGGAGCGCUAGCUUCGGUGGAGGCGCUGGUGGGAUACCGCCCUGACUGUAUUGAAAUUCUAACCUACGGGUCUUAUCGACCCGGGAGACAGUGUCAGGUGGGCAGUUUGACUGGGGCGGUCGCCUCCUAAAGUGUAACGGAGGCGCCCAAAGGUUCCCUCAGAAUGGUUGGAAAUCAUUCGUAGAGUGCAAAGGCAUAAGGGAGCUUGACUGCGAGACCUACAAGUCGAGCAGGGACGAAAGUCGGGCUUAGUGAUCCGGUGGUUCCGCAUGGAAGGGCCAUCGCUCAACGGAUAAAAGCUACCCCGGGGAUAACAGGCUUAUCUCCCCCAAGAGUCCACAUCGACGGGGAGGUUUGGCACCUCGAUGUCGGCUCAUCGCAUCCUGGGGCUGUAGUCGGUCCCAAGGGUUGGGCUGUUCGCCCAUUAAAGCGGUACGCGAGCUGGGUUCAGAACGUCGUGAGACAGUUCGGUCCCUAUCCGUCGUGGGCGUAGGAAAUUUGAGAGGAGCUGUCCUUAGUACGAGAGGACCGGGAUGGACGCACCGCUGGUGUACCAGUUGUUCUGCCAAGGGCAUAGCUGGGUAGCUAUGUGCGGAAGGGAUAAGUGCUGAAAGCAUCUAAGCAUGAAGCCCCCCUCAAGAUGAGAUUUCCCAUAGCGUAAGCUAGUAAGAUCCCUGAAAGAUGAUCAGGUUGAUAGGUUCGAGGUGGAAGCAUGGUGACAUGUGGAGCUGACGAAUACUAAUAGAUCGAGGACUUAACCAUAUAA